GCCGCAAUAGCUCAGCUGGUAGAGCAACUGAUUCGUAAUCAGUAGGUCGGAGGUUCGAAUCCUCUUUGCGGCACCA
rnacentral:tRNA from 6 species